rnacentral:misc_RNA from 1 species
UCCUCUAAUUUUUUCCUUUAAGUCGCUUUUAAACCGCUCCUAAACCACUUUUAAACCGACUUUUUUCGAACCGUCCUUUAAACAGUUUUAAACCGGGGCUCGAACCAGAACCGGCGGGUCAAGAACUGUCUUCCAAACCGUCUCAUGACGGUUUGGUUGAGGUUCAUGAUUUCAUUAAAUCUGAACCGGCAGUUCAGGAACUGUAACCAGCGAUUCCUGAAUCGUGGCCACCCCUAAUCACAAAAAUAAAAUGUUC